AGGGAAAUGAUUACCUUAGCAGCACCUGUGCUCUUGGCCUCCUUCCUAUCACAAAAGAUAACACAGAUAACUGCCUAAGCGUAGCUACUAGGUAAUGAGUCCUGGCUCUUUGUGGUUGGUGUGCCAGAAAUUCUACUUACACUCCUCACUUAAUUCCUGUCUUCACACCUACCCUAGGAAGUGGGUGCCAUUAUCAACCCCACUUCGCAGACGAGGAGACUAAGGCCCAGAGAUGUUACCGGUCACACAUCUUGUUCGGGCAGAGCCAGGUCUCAGCCAGUAGGCUGGGCUGUUGCAUCAGCAGAAGCCACUAGACUCCCAGCGAGGCCAAGGCCGGCGGCUGGAAAGAUGCUUCCUGGAAAGACACCGCAGCUCUCAUGCGUCCUCAGUGCAUUCACAAAUAUAAAAAUACCGCAUCCUGUUGCUUCCCAGUGUUUCGGUGACGAAAGCAAAUACCAAUUAUUAUUGGUGGUGUGUGCAUGACCCGGGACAGAGGUAUCUGCAUGGACAAGGUUGACUCCCUGGUUUGCACAAGAUGAAAUUCAACACAACAUCAACCCAGGGUCUGGUGAGCUGGGGUUCGCGCUGUGGAAAUCCAUGGAGGGGAGCCCUCUCCACACUCAGCACUCGAGGCCUCUCUCCACUCGCUGGCAUCUGUCCCUGAGCCCGUUGGUUCGUAGACCUGAGCAUAAGGGCUCCUGGGGCUGGCAAGGAGAGGCCUGCUUCCCGGAUUAGUGAGGCCUUCCCCACACACCCCGGUCCAGUUCACAUAUUCACAAGCAUUUCAUCCGGAAGACGAGCAAAACCGCCCAAAUCCUGGGGAAGGAGGAGUAGGCAUUCUCCCAGAGGAACGCAGCGGGAGGUAGAGCCUGCACCCCAGUUUUCGAGGGGAUGGGCAGGGCCCACAAGUAUCCAGGCUGGAGCCCCAAGGCCAGAAACUCUGGAAAAAAAGUAUUUUACAAGCUGAAUGCAAAAUUAAAAAAAA
rnacentral:lncRNA from 1 species